UGGUUAUAUUUGUUUUACAUUAGUUUCGUGUAUAACAAUUAGCAUGGCUGGUCUAUUCAUGACCUCCAAUUGCUCUGAGUUUGUGGUCUUCGUGCUAUGACCUUGUCUAAUUAGGGUUAGCAACUUUCGUGAUCGAUUUGGUUCAUUUGGGUGCUGUUUACAACUGUAACUUCUAAAAAUCCCCAAUUUCAUGGGAUUACCAUUGCUAUUCUACAUUCUGUCAUGUGCUAUGGUAGGCAUAAUUGAUUGGACACUAUGAUUACUAAAGGGUUCGUUGGUUUUCUGUUUAGCAUGGAUUCUAUGCUCUUGUUCUAGUACUCACAGUAGUUCUCGGGCAUUAUUUAAUACUCCCUCCAUUUCACAAUUCUUGUCUUGGUUUUAGUUUAAAUAUGUGUUUUUCUUGAAGAACUGCAUUUGUUUGCCGGCCAUCGAACCAUACCUAUUUGUGUGCCUAUUUGUUUGCAUUGUUAAACAAGCAUUUUGGUUUGUUUCCAGUUGAUCUUCUUCACUGAUGUUGUUUCCUCACGCGGGUGCACAAGAGUUCGCCGUCCAUGGGCUGGUUUACAAGGGUGGCAAAUAUAACGCGCACCGGGAGAGGAGGAGGGGGGCUUCCUACGCUGUGUUUUGCAUUGCCUCCACCAACCCAUGCGCUUCUUCUUCCACUCCGGCGUGGUUGUGCAUGGCUGGUUCACAAGGACAGCAAGCACUGCCACCGUGAUGGAAGAUGCUCGAAGUGGCCGCUGCCACCAAAGACCAAUCCUACCUCCUCCAACGCUUCCUCCACAUGUGUUCUGCUUGCUGUACAGGUGCACAAGAGAUACGCCGUCCACAGGCUGGCUUACAAGGAUGACAAGCACAACGAGCACCGGGAGAGGAAGAGGGGGUUCCUAUGUUGUGUUUUGCAUCGCCUCCACCAACCCCCUGCGCUUCUUCUUCCACUCCGGCAUAGGUAAGCCCCUCUCCGCUCUGCUCUCUCAUGCGCGUGCUUGUGUGCAAUGCCACUGAACCGUGGUGAAUCUCAUGCUGGCCAUCGUGCCAUGGCAAAGUUCUCUGGUUUUUGGCUAUCGUGAUAUACAUGAGUCUCGUGCUGUGUGUGAUGCCUUUCUCUUGAUUGUUUGAUUCCUAGGGCUAGGUCAAUGCCCAUGACACUUGCAUCCAACCGCAAGGUCAGUUUUUCUGGUCUCCAGCAACCAAAAAAAUUGUGUUUUUCUCCCUUUGCAUUGAGCUCUCACACACUAGAUACCAUUCUGGAAUUAGGUUUUCUGAUAUGCAGUGUAUCUAUAUGCUAGCCUUCAUGUAAUGCUGGAAAUCAGGAAAACAACAUAAUCUUUGUCUUAAAUAAACUACUACACAAUAUAGGUUUACACUUGUCAUUUUGUAUGGCAAACACUACCUGU